CCUACGGGUGGCAGCAGUGGGGGAUAUUGCACAAUGGGGGAAACCCUGAUGCAGCGACGCCGCGUGAGUGAAGAAGUAUUUCGGUAUGUAAAGCUCUAUCAGCAGGGAAGAAAAUGACAGUACCUGACUAAGAAGCCCCGGCUAACUACGUGCCAGCAGCCGCGGUAAUACGUAGGGGGCAAGCGUUAUCCGGAUUUACUGGGUGUAAAGGGAGCGUAGACGGUUUGGUAAGUCUGAUGUGAAAGCCCGGGGCUCAACCCCGGGACUGCUUUGGAAACUGUGUAACUAGAGUACAGGAGGGGCAGGCGGAAUUCCUGGUGUAGCGGUGAAAUGCGUAGAUAUCAGGAGGAACACCGGCGGCGAAGGCGGCCUGCUGGACUGUAACUGACGUUGAGGCUCGAAAGCGUGGGGAGCAAACAGGAUUAGAUACCCCUGUAGUC
rnacentral:rRNA from 1 species